GACGAACGCUGGCGGCGUGCCUAAUACAUGCAAGUCGAGCGGACCUCUUCGGAGGUCAGCGGCGGACGGGUGAGUAACACGUGGGCAACCUGCCUGUAAGACUGGGAUAACACCGGGAAACCGGUGCUAAUACCGGAUAAUCCUUUUCUUCACAUGGCGAAAAGCUGAAAGACGGUUUCGGCUGUCACUUACAGAUGGGCCCGCGGCGCAUUAGCUAGUUGGUGAGGUAACGGCUCACCAAGGCGACGAUGCGUAGCCGACCUGAGAGGGUGAUCGGCCACACUGGGACUGAGACACGGCCCAGACUCCUACGGGAGGCAGCAGUAGGGAAUCUUCCGCAAUGGACGAAAGUCUGACGGAGCAACGCCGCGUGAGCGAAGAAGGCCUUCGGGUCGUAAAGCUCUGUUGUCAGGGAAGAACACGUACCGGAGUAACUGCCGGUACCUUGACGGUACCUGACCAGAAAGCCACGGCUAACUACGUGCCAGCCGCCGCAGUAA
rnacentral:rRNA from 1 species